GCCCAGGUGGUGAAAUCGGUAAACACAGGGGACUUAAAAUCCCCCGGGGAAACCCUUGCGGGUUCGAGUCCCGCCCUGGGCACCA
rnacentral:tRNA from 2 species